AAGCGGUGGAGCAUGUGGUUUAAUUCGAAGCAACGCGAAGAACCUUACCAGGCCUUGACAUGCAGAGAACUUCCAGAGAUGGAUUGGUGCCGUUCGGGAACUCUGACACAGGUGCUGCAUGGCUGUCGUCAGCUCGUGUCGUGAGAUGGUUGGGUUAACGUCCCGUAACGAGCGCAACCCUUGUCCUUAGUUACCAGCACGUUAUGGUGGGCACUCUAAGGAGACUGCCGGUGUUAAACCGGAGGAAGGUGGGGAUGACGUCAAGUCCUCAUGGCCUUUAUGACCAGGGCUACACACGUACUACAAUGGCCGAUACAAAGGGCAGCGACACUGCGAGGUGAAGCCAAUCCCGUAAAAUCGGUCUCAGUCCGGAUUGGAGUCUGCAACUCGACUCCAUGAAGUUGGAAUCGCUAGUAAUCGUGGAUCAGCAUGCCACGGUGAAUACGUUCCCGGGCCUU
rnacentral:rRNA from 1 species